rnacentral:rRNA from 1 species
UACGGAGGAUGCAAGCGUUAUCCGGAAUUAUUGGGCGUAAAGCGUCCGUAGGUGGCCAAUCAAGUCUGCUGUCAAAGCGUGGAGCUUAACUCCAUAUCGGCGGUGGAAACUGAUGAGCUAGAGUGCGAUAGGGGUAGCAGGAAUUCCCAGUGUAGCGGUGAAAUGCGUAGAUAUUGGGAGGAACACCAGUGGCGAAGGCGGCAUCCUGGACCGACACUGACGCUGAGGAGCGAAAGCCAGGGGAGCAAACGGG